rnacentral:rRNA from 1 species
UACGUAGGGUGCAAGCGUUGUCCGGAAUUAUUGGGCGUAAAGAGCUCGUAGGCGGUCUGUCGCGUCUGCUGUGAAAACUCGGGGCUUAACCCCGGGCCUGCAGUGGGUACGGGCAGACUAGAGUGCGGUAGGGGAGACUGGAAUUCCUGGUGUAGCGGUGAAAUGCGCAGAUAUCAGGAGGAACACCGGUGGCGAAGGCGGGUCUCUGGGCCGAUACUGACGCUGAGGAGCGAAAGCGUGGGGGAGCGAACAGG